rnacentral:sRNA from 1 species
AUUAACAACUUAGUACUUUUACAUGAAAGCAAACAAAUACUUUACAAGUUUAAAAGAAGCUGAAAAUGCCAAGCAAGAGGGUGAAACUAGAAUCCGACGAAAUGCUGAAAAGGAUUUUUGCAAGGAAUAUGAAAAACAAGUGAGAAAUGGAAGACUUUUUUGUACACGGGAGAGUGAUCCAGUCCGUGGCCCUGACGGCAGGAUGCAUGGCAACAAAUGUGCCCUGUGUGCUGAAAUUUUCAAGCGGCGUUUUUCAGAGGAAAACAGUAAAACAGAUCAAAAUUUGGGAAAAACUGAAGAAAAAACUAAAGUUAAAAGAGAAAUUGUGAAACUCUGCAGUGAAUAUCAAAAUCAGGCAAAGAAUGGAAUACUUUUCUGUACCAGAGAAAAUGACCCUAUUCGUGGUCCAGAUGGGAAAAUGCAUGGCAACUUGUGUUCCAUGUGUCAAGCCUACUUGUGAGUAUA